UCCGGCUUGUCACCGGCAGUCUCCUUAGAGUGCCCUUGCGUAGCAACUAAGGACAAGGGUUGCGCUCGUUGCGGGACUUAACCCAACAUCUCACGACACGAGCUGACGACAGCCAUGCAGCACCUGUGUAUCGGCUCCCUUUCAGGCACUUCCGAAUCUCUUCGGCUUUCCGACCAUGUCAAGGGUAGGUAAGGUUUUUCGCGUGGCAUCGAAUUAAUCCACAUCAUCCACCGCUUGUGCGGGUCCCCGUCAAUUCCUUUGAGUUUUAAUCUUGCGACCGUACUCCCCAGGCGGUCAACUUCAUGCGUUAGCUUCGUUACUAAGGACCGCAAUCCCCAACAACUAGUUGACAUCGUUUAGGGCGUGGACUAC
rnacentral:misc_RNA from 1 species